GUUAGGAGGUAGCGCUGCGUACAAGAGUACAAGGGAAGAGAAGGGUGGGCCCAGAAAGAGGAACUGAAGAUCGAGUUCAGGAGAGCAAACUGACUUGAAUAAGAGCCUGAUUUCAUGAGGAAGGCCUCUUACGGUUACCCUGGCAUUGAGAAGCGCCAGCCGCUGCCUCGCCAAGCCCGCUGCUGAACCCGCUGAUGCCCAGGCCACCCGCCUGCGUCUUGAUUGCCGACUUGAGCUCGUGAUUCUCCCGAAUGAGCCGCACCAGCUUCUUCAGUUCCUCAUUUUCCCGCACCAGCCUCUCUAUCUGAUGCCGAAGCCCCUCAUAAUUGAGUUAUCUACUCAGAGAACUUUUUCAACCUGACCUUGGGAGUUGAGGGAGGCCGUGUCCUCGUGACCUCCACUGGUUCUGCAGGCGUCUGCUCUCAAACAG